rnacentral:rRNA from 1 species
UGGGGAAUUUUGGACAAUGGGCGCAAGCCUGAUCCAGCCAUGCCGCGUGAGUGAAGAAGGCCUUCGGGUUGUAAAGCUCUUUCGGACGGGAAGAAAUGGCGGGCUCUAACAUAGCCUGUCGAUGACGGUACCGUAAGAAGAAGCACCGGCUACCUUCGUGCCAGCAGCCGCGGUAAUCCGAAGGGUGCAAGCGUUACUCGGAAUUACUGGGCGUAAAGCGUGCGUAGGUGGUUGUUUAAGUCUGAUGUGAAAGCCCUGGGCUCAACCGGGGAAUGGCAUUGGAAACUGGGCAGCUAAAGUGCGGUAGAGGGUAGUGGAAUUCCCGGUGUAGCAGUGAAAUGCGUUGGGAUCGGGAGGAACAUCUGUGGCGAAGGCGACUGCC